AAAUUCUGUGUACACAAUGAAGUUUUUCGGAAUGUAAAGUGCUUUCAGUGGGAAGGAAAAAAUGACGGUACCAACAGAAAAAGUACGCUAAAUACGUGCCAGCAGCCCGAUAAUACGUAUUCACAAGCGGUAUCGGAUUAUGGGCGUAAAGCGCGUCUAGGUGGUUAUGUAAUCUGAUGUAAAAUGCAGGGCUCAACUCGUAUUGCGUUGGAAACUGUGUAACUAGAGUACUGGAGAGGUAAGCGGAACUACAAGUGUAGAGGUGAAAUUCGUAGAUAUUUGUAGGAAUGCCGAUGGGGAAGCCAGCUUACUGGACAGAUACUGACGCUGAAGCGCGAAAGCGUGGGUAGCAAACAGG
rnacentral:rRNA from 1 species